AGUCGAGGGGUAUAGUUCUUCGGAAUUAGAGACCGGCGCACGGGUGCGUAACGCGUAUGCAAUCUACCUUUUACAGAGGGAUAGCCCAGAGAAAUUUGGAUUAAUACCUCAUAGUAUAGCAGUUUCGCAUGAAACCACUAUUAAAGUCACAACGGUAAAAGAUGAGCAUGCGUCCCAUUAGCUAGUUGGUAAGGUAACGGCUUACCAAGGCUACGAUGGGUAGGGGUCCUGAGAGGGAGAUCCCCCACACUGGUACUGAGACACGGACCAGACUCCUACGGGAGGCAGCAGUGAGGAAUAUUGGACAAUGGGCGCAAGCCUGAUCCAGCCAUGCCGCGUGCAGGAUGACGGUCCUAUGGAUUGUAAACUGCUUUUAUACAGGAAGAAACCCUGGUUCGUGAACCAGCUUGACGGUACUGUAAGAAUAAGGAUCGGCUAACUCCGUGCCAGCAGCCGCGGUAAUACGGAGGAUCCAAGCGUUAUCCGGAAUCAUUGGGUUUAAAGGGUCCGUAGGCGGUUUAAUAAGUCAGUGGUGAAAGCCCAUCGCUCAACGGUGGAACGGCCAUUGAUACUGUUAAACUUGAAUUAUUAGGAAGUAACUNGAAUAUGUAGUGUAGCGGUGAAAUGCUUAGAGAUUACAUGGAAUACCAAUUGCGAAGGCAGGUUACUACUAAUGGAUUGACGCUGAUGGACGAAAGCGUGGGUAGCGAACAGGAUUAGAUACCCUGGUAGUCCACGCCGUAAACGAUGGAUACUAGCUGUUGGGAGCAAUCUCAGUGGCUAAGCGAAAGUG
rnacentral:rRNA from 1 species